CAAGUAAGGUAGAUAAUCGCGGCUGCAGGCGUCGAAAGACCGCAGACGAGGAAAGUCCGGGCUUCACAGGGCAGGAUGCCGGUUAACGGCCGGUGGAGGCGACUCCAAGGACAGUGCAACAGAAAUGUACCGCUAUUGGAACAAUAGUAAGGGUGGAAGGGCAGUGUAAGAGACUACCGCCUGGCUGGUAACAGUCGGGGCACAUGUAAACCCCAUCCGAAGCAAGACCGAACAAAAGCGUUGACGCGGCCCGCUAGCUUUAGGUAGGUUGCUGGAUCUGACUGGCAACAGUCAGACUAGAUAGAUGAUUAUCCAAGACAUAACCCGGCUUAUAGCCUUGCUUGCACA
rnacentral:RNase_P_RNA from 2 species